CGAGAUUCAACCUUAUACCUUUCACGUCCCUGAAUGUUCCACACAGUCCCCUACUCUACCUGCUAUGCUACCAGUCAGGUGAAACUUUAUAUACAAAAUCCUAACUCUAUUUGUAAGUACAGUGUCCAGUAGAGGACAGUGUAUGAAAGCAGCUUGGAAUGGGAAAAAGCAGUGAAACCACGGCAAAAUCAGUGGGAUCUCACAUUUUGCAACACACGGGAUGCAGUCCAAACACUUAAAUAAACAUCCUCGUCCACUUACCCUCACCUUAUGCUCUUGGGGGAAUCCCCGCCGGCCAUCUUGGUGGGCGGUCCAAAUGGUUAGCCAAGCAAGUUUGCAACGUAAGCCCCUCAGCCCUCGUUUUUUGUUGGCUUUGCGAGUGUACAAAUAUAUUCACUCCAGGGCCUGAAUCUCCCCAUAAUUCAAUUUGCGACGAUUGUACAUCCGCUAAGAAAAGUCAGCGAAGUGUACACUCGUCAAACGUCAUGAUACGUCAUCAGAAGUGUCUUCUUAAUUUGAGGGCUGAGGGGAUAGGGUGUGUCUUUUAAGUGUUUGGACCGGUAUGAAAAAGCAUGUGAUCAAAUGAAGCUUUGUAUGUAAUUGAUGACGUACUUCUGAUAAAGUGAUUUCAACACACCCCUCAUAGCUCCGGUAUCAAAUGUAACAUCACUAGAAAAAAAAUUGAAAAAUGGAACAUACAAUAAGUAAAUAUGGAAUGGGAAAAUGAACAAGCCUUCUAGAAGAUCUGAUGAAGGAGAACAUGGUGGAUAGGGAAAAAAGUAGAAAAUUGGAACAUGUUUUGAGUGAAUAUGGAGUGGUGGAUCACACAGAACUUUUGGAAAAGCUACAGAAGGAAUUUGAACGUGACAAGAGUGAGGACGAAUCAAUUGUGGUGGCAGGUCAUGUCUACUGCAACAGAGCAACAAGAGGAAGUGGGUGAGGUGAGUGUGCACUGUGACACACACAACACCCCCGGAUUCACACACUAUGACACACCUGGACACAUACACUACAACGACACAACCAGAGACACAGACCAGGUGGUGUUGGACUCGUCUCUGUUCCAGUACAGCUCUGAGGUUGAACAGCUCUUACCGCCUACAGACCAGCACCCCACCACGGACCAGAAGGAGUUGAUGAUGGAGCAGUCAGAGAAGACAGAAACACUUUCUAAUGUGCCCACACACACCCCUAUCACACACACUCUGCCCCCUGAGCACACACACACUGAGGAGCCUCCAACAUGGGGCAGAGCCCAGCAGGAGGCUGAGACAAGGCGCGGAAGUCCACCGGUCAAUGAGGAACACACUGAUGACCUCACUGCUUUGGGAGCCAAUGGAAGUGCUUACCCACGCUCUGUGGGAGGGGAGAUGGAGGACAUGACAGAGCUCUGGGCCCUGAGUAGACCUGCACCCCUUACAUCAGCCCAUGAGACCCUUAACACCCCACACACUACUCUAGAAGGAGACAGAACAAUGGAGGGAGAGAAAACAAUGGGGAGUGUGAUGGAGAGAGAAAAAACAUUGGAGCCAGUCUCUAUGAUGGAGAGAGAGAAAACAAUGCGCAGCUUGGUGGACCUGCAGAGGAAGGUGGAGCAGAAACAACAGCGAGACAGAGAGAGACAAUUACUGAGGGUCCAGGAGCGGCUGUCAAUCAUUCAGAACAAGAAGUCCCAGGAAGACCUGAUGGGCCUCAGACAGACUGACAGACUCCGACACCUCACACAUAACCUGCCCCAGGCGGAUAAGAGCCAGCAGAAGACAGUGGUCAGAGAGAGACUGGAGCAGCUGAGGAGAGAACGCUCCUACGUCAUGCAGUCCAAACGAGACAGGAAUACAGCAGGCUUCAAGGAGCUGCUGGGUCCAGUGAGAAUCCACAGUGCAGAGCCAGACGACACUGCUGACUCACUCAGGCUAGCCACCAGCGCAAGCUAA
rnacentral:lncRNA from 1 species